GAAAAAUUUAUUUUAAAAAAUGUUAAAUUUUAUUUGAAAUGUAACUAUUAUAUUAAGGCUGAAGAAAACGAUAGAAGAGGCCAUGUCGCAUUCUUAUAACAAAUCGAGAUAUCUUCAUAUGCAAAAUCAUCCCUGUUCAAAGGUAUGAGAUAAACCGAGCAUGUGUAUUUCUUUCAUUCACUUUUUUUCUUUCAAUUGUACCAAUUUAAAAUAUCGCUGAAAGAUUAACGCAAAAACGUUGUGCUUAAAAAAGAAGGUGGUAAUAAAACGUUCAAGUGCCAUAAAGGUGGUCGCGCAAUACAUUGGAGGUAUUUCAUUUCCGAUCCAAAAGGAAUAUGUUGCUUUCCGAAUAAAAGAUCGCCGAGAAAUAAAUUUUUCGCUAUCGUUUAUGUCUGUCAUACAUUUUUCCUGCGAACCAAUACAUUGCGGGACCUCACUCGCAGGAACGCCAGAGCUGUUUUUAUUUGGUAUUGUAUUUCUCUUACUGUAUUAAACACGCCUAGCUUUAUUUAACAAGAUGAUACAGGGUAGCUAAAAUCUGUUAAGCAUGUAAGCUCUGCGAUAUCAUUAUAGACUAAUGUACAUCUCAAGAUUAUCUGCCUACAGGAUUCUAUGCACGAUGUAGGAAUACCAAGCACAGUAAUGGCUUCCCUUAAUAAAUCAUCUGUCCCAAGGAAUGAAAUUUUGUUUUCGUUUAAAUACAAGUAUUUCUUUUAAUUUUUCCAAUUUAAAUA